rnacentral:misc_RNA from 1 species
GUAGGUGAACCUGCGGAAGGAUCAUUAAAAGUACCCUGCCCACGGCCGUCGUCGCCCCUGAAAAAGGCUGCGAUGUGAGCUGUGAGCCUGAGUUACACUCUGGCCUGAUCUCUGUCCGGCGACCCCCGACGGGGGAAGCCGGAACCAACGGAGGGAGGUUUCAUGUGUCCACCCUUUGUGAAACCCUUCUAUAUGCUUCGGCAGCACGGCUCCGCGGGCAACGGUGGGUCGGUAAGGCUGCCAGAAGCCCAUAUCAAAACCAGUUGAUGUAACGUCAUGCUGUCUGAUACAAUUACUUUGAGAAAUCAAAUUAUAUUAAAACUUUCAGCAACGGAUCUCUUGGUUCUC